GCGGAGUUGAGGGAAGGCGCCUCCCUUUCACCCAACUGUGACGGAAGGUGGCGCCAUCAUGGGAAGGGCAGGAGGCGGCCAGUUCCCAUUGGCUCCUGAACCGGGUCACGAGGACAUUCGUUUGCUUAGCAGUCUGACUGAUAAUGUUGCAUCCUGACAUUUGUCCCCUGAAAGACGUGAAUGGAGGAAUUCAAACCCAAAUCCCAUUCAGGUGAACGUCAGCGGACAAACAGUGAGCCAGUGGAGAUGCUGUCCACAAAUACACAAUCCAUGUCUUUAGCCUAAUCAAAGAAUUGCAAAAGUAUGCUGUGAGCUGUGAAGCUCAAUAAAAAUCUGCUAGUGAGAUGAUUCCAUUGACAUCUGAUGUUUUUGAACCGCGGAGCAGCAGACAUCGAUCCCGGGAGACGGUUUGGCAAGUAGCCCUUGCUCAGGUUGGGAAGUCCAAGGGAAUUCUGCAUUUGUGCAAUUCUGCAGGUUGAAAUCUGCACAUUGAGUUGGGCCCGGAAACACACGUCGGCCCAGAGCAGGCAUUAUUUGCUCAGACCGUCUGUUCUGUGUAUGAGUGACCUGGCUCUGGCUUUCCAAACUGUCUCCAAAGUUGCUUACGACUUAUGGAGACCCUGAAGCCACCCUAUCACAAGUUUUUC